rnacentral:lncRNA from 1 species
UUCAGUAUUCCUAGCGAAUAUCUCCUGAAGCGAGUCGCGUUUUGACUCGCUGAUAUUGCAAAUCGCCGUCGCGUCAGUGAAAUUAGUCAGCAAUCUCACCGAGUUCAGAGAGAAAUCAAAAUAUGGCGAUGUAAGAUGACAUCUCACCAUUGACUCGGUUAGUGAACUCCGAUUAUGUCUUCCGUUGAAGUCAGACGUUCCUAAUAUAAGCUCUUUAAGUUAUUAGACUAGUCUGGAUUCAGAGAGGUGAGAUGACCAGAACAGCUUUAAGUUUAUAAGUUUUGGAUAUGUUGGCCCGUUCUGAUCCAGUGAUCCUUCUUGUGUAGCUGCUUCGAAUUCAGGUAACAGUUUUCUCUCUUUGUGUACCAUAUACAUUUAAGGGUUCGCCGGAACUUUGGUUUGCUGGAGAUUUGUUAGAAGCUGAUGAUGUCUUCUCAGUUUCUUAGUUAUUCUGAUUUGUUUGUAUGUGUGUAAGAUGGGUUCAGUUUUGAAAGCGAGGGAAAUGGACUCACCCUCUGAUCUGAAGUUACAUUUUUCCCCGUUUCUUUGAGUCACAUGUUUAUCCCAGAUCUAAACUAGCAAAACACCAUUUCUAGAAGCAUUACGAUGUUGAUACAUAACUAGUCUCUUUCAGAACACACAAUAGGACAAUCCAAAGCCAGUCUCCCAGUUUUGGUGUUUUCAGGAAUUUGUUAAAGCAACAAUGAUGAACAUAAAAGAAGAUGAAGCGUUACUAUCAAAAUCCAUCUCAGACAUCAACUAGCUUAAGGCCUGUGGUCCAAUCCUCACAAUACCUAACAAAAGGGGUGUUUUUGAUUAUCUUGGAUUGACAACCAUGGAGCGGAGCUCUAAGUAAACAUGGAUCCAUCGACAUGGCCCUAACACAUGGCGGAUUAGGAACUAUGCGGUUCCUUGGUUCGUAGAGGAUCCAUGGCUUUAAUCCUCCGAGACCUUGAGCUACGUAUCCAAAGGUAGACCUUGUGCUUGUGACAAGUUUAUCAGUUAGGCUUAGG